UACGGGGGGGGUAAGCGUUGUUCGGAAUUACUGGGCGUAAAGGGCGCGUAGGCGGCGUGUCAAGUCGAUUGUGAAUCUCCGGGCUUAACUCGGAACGGCCAAUCGAUACUGACGUGCUAGAGUGCAGAAAGGGCAAUCGGAAUUCUUGGUGUAGCGGUGAAAUGCGCAGAUAUCAGGAAGAACACCCGUGGCUAAGGCGGUUCUCUAGUACGGUACUGACGCUGAGACGCGAAAGCGUGGGGAGCGAACAGG
rnacentral:rRNA from 1 species